rnacentral:lncRNA from 1 species
AAGAUUUGUCAUUAUCAAUUAAUAAAGAUAAUCACAUGUGCAUGACUAGCUGGAAUAAUUAAUGAAGCACCUCAAGCUGAUAUAUCUGUUAAAGACAGGUUUUUAUGUGGAGAACCAGAAUAAGGCCCCGUUUGGAUACACAAUGUUAAACUUUAGCACAUUACUAAACUUUAGCACCCUCAAAUGGAGUGCUAAAGUUUAGCACUUGGGGUUGUUUGGAUACAGUGCUAAAGUUUAGCACAUUGGGUGAGAAAUGACUAUAUUGCCCUCAUUUAUAACUGGCUUGGGAAAAGUGGAGAGGAGAGAGAGGGGGGCAGCAGGGGAAAAAAUGGGCUUGGGACCACUUUUAGCACCCAUUAGCACCUUUUAGCACCCCUUGGGUGUGCUUAAAGAAAAAUGGGGGUGCUAAACUUUAGCACACCCCUUUUAGCACCCCCUGUUUGGGAGCCCAAGUGCUAAAAAGGUGCCAAAAAGUGGGGUGCUAAAGUUUAGCACCCCCUCUCCAAACAGGGCCUAAGCAUGAUUGUGUUCUAGCAUUCAAGAGGGAUGUAUAACACAAUUUGUAAUUAUGAACAUCAUUUGACAUAGGCCCUACAGCAGACCUAUACAUUUGAUUGUGCGCUCUAACAGAUAAGUAUAGCAGCAGUGCCAGUUCUGGCAUGUGCAUUACUAUUCAAUGAAUAAGGGGAGCCUCCUACUAUUAAUUUUUAU